rnacentral:rRNA from 1 species
CAGGUAGGUGGCUAUGUAAGUUGAGGGUGAAAUCCUUUGGCUCAACCAAAGAACUGCCUUCAAAACUACAUAGCUUGAGGUUGGGAGAGGAGAACGGAAUUCCCGGUGUAGGGGUGAAAUCUGUAGAUAUCGGGAGGAACACCAGCUGCGAAGGCGGUUCUCUGGUCCAAUCCUGACACUCAGCUGCGAAAGCUAGGGGAGCAAACAGGAUUAGAUACCCUGGUAGUCCUAGCCGUAAACGAUGAGCACUAGGUGUUUGGGCGCAAGCCUGAGCGCCGUAAGAUAACUCGUUAAGUGCUCCACCUGGGGACUACGACCGCAAGGUUAAA